UACAGAGGGUGCAAGCGUUGUUCGGAAUUAUUGGGCGUAAAGCGCGUGUAGGCGGCUUUGCAAGUCGGGUGUGAAAGCCCUCAGCUCAACUGAGGAAGUGCGCCCGAAACUGCAUAGCUUGAGUACCGGAGAGGAUGGUGGAAUUCCCGAAGUAGAGGUGAAAUUCGUAGAUAUCGGGAGGAACACCGGUGGCGAAGGCGACCAUCUGGACGGGUACUGACGCUGAGACGCGAAAGCGUGGGUAGCAAACAGG
rnacentral:rRNA from 1 species